GGGAAGAGCCCAAACCAACAAGCUUGCUUGUUGGGGUUGUAGGACACUCUAUACGGAGUUACAAAGGACGACAUUAGACGAAUCAUCUGGAAAGAUGAAUCAAAGAAGGUAAUAAUCCUGUAGUCGAAAAUGUUGUCUCUCUUGAGUGGAUCCUGAGUACGACGGAGCACGUGAAAUUCCGUCGGAAUCUGGGAGGACCAUCUCCUAAGGCUAAAUACUCUCUAGUGACCGAUAGUGAACCAGUACCGUGAGGGAAAGGUGAAAAGCACCCCGGAAGGGGAGUGAAAUAGAACCUGAAACCGUGUGCUUACAAGUAGUCAGAGCCCGUUAAUGGGUGAUGGCGUGCCUUUUGUAGAAUGAACCGGCGAGUUACGAUUUGAUGCAAGGUUAAGCAGUAAAUGUGGAGCCGUAGCGAAAGCGAGUCUGAAUAGGGCGUUUAGUAUUUGGUCGUAGACCCGAAACCAGGUGAUCUACCCUUGGUCAGGUUGAAGUUCAGGUAACACUGAAUGGAGGACCGAACCGACUUACGUUGAAAAGUGAGCGGAUGAACUGAGGGUAGCGGAGAAAUUCCAAUCGAACCUGGAGAUAGCUGGUUCUCUCCGAAAUAGCUUUAGGGCUAGCCUCAAGUGAUGAUUAUUGGAGGUAGAGCACUGUUUGGACGAGGGGCCCCUCUCGGGUUACCGAAUUCAGACAAACUCCGAAUGCCAAUUAAUUUAACUUGGGAGUCAGAACAUGGGUGAUAAGGUCCGUGUUCGAAAGGGAAACAGCCCAGACCACCAGCUAAGGUCCCAAAAUAUAUGUUAAGUGGAAAAGGAUGUGGCGUUGCCCAGACAACUAGGAUGUUGGCUUAGAAGCAGCCAUCAUUUAAAGAGUGCGUAAUAGCUCACUAGUCGAGUGACACUGCGCCGAAAAUGUACCGGGGCUAAACAUAUUACCGAAGCUGUGGAUUGUCCUUUGGACAAUGGUAGGAGAGCGUUCUAAGGGCGUUGAAGCAUGAUCGUAAGGACAUGUGGAGCGCUUAGAAGUGAGAAUGCCGGUGUG
rnacentral:rRNA from 1 species